rnacentral:rRNA from 1 species
UUGAUCUCAAAUCAGGUAGGACUACCCGCUGAACUUAAGCAUAUCAAUAAGCGGAGGAAAAGAAACUAACAAGGAUUCCCCUAGUAACUGCGAGUGAAGCGGGAAGAGCUCAAAUUUAAAAUCUGGCGUGCCUCUGGUCGUCCGAGUUGUAGUCUGGAGAAGCGUUUUCCGUGUUGGACCGUGUAUAAGUCUCUUGGAACAGGGCGUCAUAGAGGGUGAGAAUCCCGUCUUUGACACGGACUACCAAUGCUUUGUGAUGCGCUCUCAAAGAGUCGAGUUGUUUGGGAAUGCAGCUCAAAAUGGGUGGUAAAUUCCAUCUAAAGCUAAAUAUAGGC